GCAAACAGAGGCCAAAUCAAGAGAAUGGCAUUUGAAAUCAAUGUGUCCUCAAUAUCAAAAUGUCCCAGGAACACACAAGAGUGUCCGUGUUCCCACCCCUUCCUGCCCCAGUCUGGGAAGACUGACUUGGGGAUGGGCAGAGCUUAGAGGAAGAGGCAAUCAGAUCUCCUAGAGUGUCUGGACUCCACCUACUGGAGGCCCCUCCCUCUGCCAGAACUGGAAAACAUAGGAGGGUAUCCAUGGAGAACUGAGAGCAACUGCUUGUGGUACAGUUGAGUCAGAGGACAUGCUUCCUUCAGAACUUUCCCUGUGAGAGCACUGGCAGCCUUCACAUCAGUUCCUCGGAGCCAACAGCAGGAGCCCUCAGAGCUUUGCCAGCCCCAGAACAAACUGGGAGCUCCACCUGACAGGUGGUUAAACGGACCAACUUUGCCCCGUAACUGGACCCGCCGGGCCACACCCACUCAGCCGUUUAGCCUGGGAUGUGAUUCUCAGAAAACAGUGAUGCUGAAUAGGAUACGGAAAGUCACAGUUCCCAGAGGGACCUCUGGUGGAUGGAUGAUAAGGUCAGCUGAGUCACGGGCUGUUUGUCAAGGCCCGUUGUAAAAAGGAGCUAUAUAAAGAGAAAGCAUGCUUGCUUUAAUUUUCUCAAGAAAACACUGUUAUCUGGUUCUUCCAAAAAACAGAGAGAGAAAAAAAAGGCUUUCGUAUUGUAGUUGUGGGGACAGGGUAUUGGGGAGGGUACCCCAAUACCCACUAUGUAGUUCAGGCUGACCUCAAACUUCUUGCCACCUUCUACCUCAUCUCACCACACCUCAGCACCCACCACCCCGUGCAGGUGUACACCACCACACCCAGCUUCAAGUUUGUUUUGCCAGGAGCUGCCCAGGAGUUUUGACUGUGCCAUGGAGACUAUCUGACCACUUCAGAACUCUGAUUUAUUGCCAUGCAAGGGAACUAAAUGGACAGUGUGCUCCCCUCGUCUGUAGCUUCUACCAUCCUUUGUGAGCAGGCUGUCUCUCUCAUCCUUAGAUACAUUCUGCGCCCGUUUGAAUUCUAAGAAAAGCAGUCAGCAUAGAUACGGAAGGCUGAAGUUUGAUUUGUCACCACGGUGACAUUUCCUAUUUGAAUCAAUCACAUUCACGGGACGAGAACCAAGGCAGGCAUAUUUCUAUACACAAAAAAACCCAAAGCAUCCUGAAGGUAUUUUUGGUCAAUGUCCUGUCAAGAAAGAAAACUUCCAGACACAAAGAAAUGCAGCUGUACAUUUCCCCAGGAUUCAGACAACACAAUCCAAACCACAACUUACUCAUCCACUGACUUUAAUAAAGAUUUAUUUAUAAAUAAAUGUGUAUGUCAGAAAGC
rnacentral:lncRNA from 1 species